rnacentral:lncRNA from 1 species
CGCCAAGGCGCUUCAGUCGUGUCCGACUCUGUGCGACCCCAGAGACGGCAGCCCACCAGGCUCCCCCGUCCCUGGGAUUCUCCAGGCAAGAACCCUGGAGUGGGUUGUCAUUUCCUUCUCCAGUGCAUGAAGUGAAAAGUGAAAGUGAAGUCGCUCAGUCUUGUCUGACUCUUAGCGACCCCGUGGACUGCAGCCUACCAACUACAGAGGCGUUAUUCACAAAACAUGGGGGUCUUUGUGAAGCCCACCAGUUAUCUCCAGCUCUGCUGAGUGUCCUGGAAGAUGUGGAGCUGCCAGCGUCUGUCAGUCUGGGUUCCUGGGUUGCUGUGUGAGCAGAUCCUUCCACCCUUCCACAACCCCCCUCGCAUCCUGCAAACAAGAGGGGAAAAUAAACCUUGAGCAUGUUUAACUUCUGA